AAAAUUUUGAAUUUAGCCAAAAUUAUCGAGGAAAAAAGUGAAACCGAACAACAGGGACAUAUAUUAUCCACAAUGGAUUAUGAAGUUAAUCUUCGAAUAGGCUCGUUCGCUGAUUGGCUGAAUAACCUCACUACAAGGAAAGUGUAAGUGAGAAAUCUGUCAGGUUAAUGCUGUUUGGUGUCUCUUGUAAUUUCAGACAUAUAACAAUGACUUAAUCAGCAUUUAUGGAGAGAAACCACAUCUGUGCUAGAUGGGACCUGUACAUUGUUAUGAAAAACAGAUGCAUUUAUGGCCACAGGGAGUUUCUCUCUCUCUCUUUCUCUCUCUCUCGCGGCAAGAUCUUAAGCAGAGAAAAGUGAAAGGUGGAGAAUUGGUGGAGGCGAACGGAGGAGACGCAGACAGAGAAAUCCAUCUGUAACACAGGCAUUGUCAUCGCCUUGCAAUUUACACCCAUUCCUCUCAACAGUGGUUCUUGUGCUUGAUGGCGUGAUAAAUUAAUCUUUUUCUGUGCCACUGCGUCGAUUCUUUUAAAAGAAUACAUUAAGGGGCGUUAGAGACUUUUUUUCUCCCGGAGUAAACAUUUUUUCUUUCUUUCUCUCUCUCAGUCACCAUGACAAAUCAUAUUCUCUGGAGAUGAAGAGAAAAGGCCAUGGAAAUAGGAAAAAUGAGAGAAGGAUGGAGGGGACGGGGAGGCAGAAAGCCAUUUUGGAAAGCCGUCGUGCUAGCCGGAUCAGUCUGAGCGCUGCUUUGACAGAGUGCUCCGUGGAAACCAUCACACACACUGCCGAUGAUAGUUGUGGUUGUUGUUGAAGAAUUAAGUAUGACCUUCACUCUAAUCGUGUUAGACAUUGGAAGGAAAGCGUCUAAUCAUCAAUCACUCAGCAGUCAGCAGAGUGGAAAGAUCACCCAACUCAAACACAGCAGGGACAAACAACAGCAUGCGGGGCUGUGACUAUACCGGCCCACCUUCACCAUUACCGCCAGGACUGUCCUUCGCUUAUAAUCUCCAAGCUAGUGCUGCUGUUUUAAUGGCCUCUACUGUGUGUGGCAAGAACGUUUCUCAGCUGAAGCCAGUCAGAUUAGGCAGACGCCAACCCUGUUUGCGCACCUUGGACUCCUACAUGAACAAGGACAGUUCAAGGAAUGACAGGAAGAAAUAGGACGGAGAGAAGAGAGGGGAACGAGAUUAGGAAAGGACCAUGAGAUGGUACUCAAAGUCAGGUUGUGCUGCAAUAUACACUACCAUUCAAAAUCCUGGGGUCGGUAAGGUGUUUGAAAGUCUCUUAAAAUUACAGUAAAAUAUUUUUUAAAUAUACUGACUAUUUAAAAUAACUUUUCUAUGCUAAUAUAUUUUAAAAUGUAAAUUAUUCCUGUGACAUUCCUUAUUAUUAUCAAUGUUGAAAACAGUUCAAUAUUUUUGUGGAAACCUUGAUUUUUUUUUUUUUUUUUAACUACACUAAAUUUUCAGGAGUGACACCGCAUUUAAAGGCGUUUCGUGUGUUUGGUAUCCGCUAUUCUGACCGAAGAAAUAUUACAGCCACAAAAGACUUGUUAUGUUCAGCAAUUUUAACUAAAGCACAGUCGACGGAGGCGUCAUGUUUUGCUUAUGCUUGGAAAGUCUGCUUCACGGAUCGUGCUCUUGCUGUGUUGCCAUGUUCACUAAUUAUAAGCCUUUUUUAGGGCUUGUUGUUUAAGCUUGGCUUGGUAAGUUUACAGAUUUAUUAAAGUGAGCAGGUGUGGGUCACGAUUUUUUGGUUUAUUGUUUUUUUUUUUUGGUUUAUUAUUUCAGUUUAUUGUGGGCUUGUUCUUGUUCACUGUUUUUCUAGCAAGAUCUGGCAACACGUAUACGUUCAGACUCAUACCACUUUCCCUGUGAUUUCCUGCACAGCACAUAAAGAAGAGAGAAACAUUUCUGAUGCACAUUAAAAUAUGUCAUAAACAAACAGUUUUUCAGUUUGUUUCUGUGCACAUUACAUAGAAUUUUGGUAAAUGCGAUUGUCACUACCUGCAUUUUUCGGGGGUGAAUUUGGUUGUAGAAAGCAGAUGUCACUCUCUUAUAUUACUGAACUGUGAAUAAAAGUAUUAAUUUUUUUGAUCGGUACUGUAUAUGGCAUAGUGCUGCAUACAAGACAGUGAAUUGUUUGUUGCUGAGAGCAUGAAGCCAUCACAGUUAAAGAGACAUUUAGGACUCAAAAUUGUCAAUUUCCUUCCCAAUCUUUGUAAUGUUAUUAUUUUUUUUAAAUAUUGU